CUAGAUCAGUACACAGCUGUGAGGGAGAGAGAGUGUGAUAAGUAGUGACGUCCAUGCCCACCAACCAUCGUCACUUACCUCCCACUGAUUAGCGUCCAGUGAGGCGUCCAACAACUUUGUAGCCAGCUGUAAAGAUGAGGAGCUGACAUGACAAGGGCAGUAUUGUGGGCAAUGGGGGGGCACUCACUUGUCUACUGACAGCUGCUGCCUCGAGGUUCUGAAUAAUGAUGAGGUAAGUGGCCGCAGUGCUCAGUCGACCAUCACUCAUACACAGCUGCAGUCAACAAUAGAGUAAAACAUGAUCACACUUUAUAAGAAUCACACGCCAACUAGCUACAAAUAAUAAAUGUAUGUAAUAUCAAGAGUAGAUAAUAGUAAGAGUGUUGAACUACAUGUACUAUAGUAAACAUGAAACCGCAUUUGCCUUAAGUUUCGUCGUCACUGUCGUCACUAUUCAAUUAAUAUGAGUCAACAAACACUCUUACUCUUAUCUACUCUUGAUAAUAUGUAUGCUAGCUAAUAUGUAUGCUAAUAUGUAUGCUAGCUGUAACUAAGGACACACCUCAAAGAGAUCCCUGGGGCUGCCGACAGCUGCAAAGAGAUAUUGCCAGAGGGCUAUCUCAGUCUUGCGGGCACAGUGACCCACCGUCUCCAGGAACUCAGGGAACUGUUUGAUAAACUCCACCCCACACGGCAGGAGGGCGUCUAUGUGGGGGGGGGAGGGGUUCACACCAUCAAUACAAACACCACUGACACCAUUUUGGAAUUGCAUGUUUCUAGCUCAAUGUAAAGAUACCUAGUGGACACACAGCAUCCGACACAGACCCAAGCAAUUAACAAAAGUAGGCGUUGGGACGAGGCUAGUUGGAUACAGUGCUAUUCAGCCAUUGGUUUGAAGAAUGGAAAUGGCCGGUCAAACCUUUAUCUAAAUAUCCCAAACGAUAGAGCUCCUUCCAGAACAAAAGAAUGAAAUUGUACACUCUAAACUAAAGUUGCAUACAGUCAAAGACAUCCAUUGAAAACUGGCAGCGCUAUUUGAGCACAACACACCUACAAUAUUAGCUAGGCCAAUACUACAGCUGCUACUACAUGUAGUACAUCCCAGAGGAGAUCCGACAUGCGUGCACAAAUCACUAAAAGUUCAGUGCAUUUGGCCUGGACGUUAUCACGUGACCGCAAUGACAUCAAUGCACUGAACUUGUAGUGAUUCAUGCAUGCAUAUCGGACCUCCUCUGAGUACAUCCCACUAUCCUCCAAUCUCUCCUCUUUUCUUCCCCACUCUCCGCUAAAAGAUUCAUACCACAUACCACAUACCACAUACCUGGUACAGGCAUGGAUCUUGAGCGAGGUGCCUCCUCCUCGAGUAUCUCAUGCAGCAUGAGCUCCAGGACGUGACGGAAGUAGGGUAGGUGGGAGGAGCUCCGAGCCAUCUGGAGGGCGUGGCUACCAAGACUGGAGGGGGAAGGGAGUAAGAAUAGAGGUGCUAGCUUCCUUAGAUAGUAUUUAGAAGAUAGUUAGAAUGCACAUUGCUCUUUGUACAGUGUACAAGUCGGCACUCCUAGCAAUACAUUAUAGCACUUACUUUCUCCUCAGAAGUUGCCUUAGAAUAUGAUGCAGGAACACAUGAGUCUAGGAGAGAGAGAUACAUAAACAUACUGUACAUACAUACACAAGUACAGUAGGAACAUGUAGCAGCUAGGUGACAAUGGUCUCACUGUUCUCUCGAUGGUGGCGAAGGGGAAGGCGUGUCUGCUGGGGUGGGCGGAGUCAGUGAAGGCAGUCUCGUGGGAGAGCCCAAACAUGAUAGCAUCAGAGAACAGGACAACUGGAGAACAAGAGAGAACAUCACAAAUAUCCAUGAUACACACUACAGGUUGUCAGUCACCUUGAGGGUAGACUGUGAUGGGAAGUGUGAGCAUGAUUCUCUUGGACAGGAACGUCGGGUGACCCUCGUCUCGUGGGUACAGGGGAAGCCACACCUACACAACACGUACAUGUAAGUAGUGGGGAGUGAAUUUG